AAUCAACGCUGGCGGCGUGCCUCAGACAUGCAAGUCGAACGAUUAAAGCCCUCUUCGGAGGGUGCAUAAAGUGGCGCACGGGUGAGUAACACGUAAGUAAUCUACCUUCGAGUGGGGAAUAACAACCGGAAACGGUUGCUAAUACCGCAUAAUGCAGCGGCAUCGAUGAUGACAGUUGUUAAAGAUUUAUCGCUUGAAGAGGAGCUUGCGGCAGAUUAGCUAGUUGGUAAGGUAACGGCUUACCAAGGCGACGAUCUGUAUCCGGUCUAAGAGGACGGUCGGACACACUGACACUGAAUAACGGGUCAGACUCCUACGGGAGGCAGCAGUCGGGAAUUUUGGGCAAUGGGCGAAAGCCUGACCCAGCAACGCCGCGUGAAGGAUGAAGUAUUUCGGUAUGUAAACUUCGUAAGAAUGGGAAGAAUAAAUGACGGUACCAUUUGUAAGCUCCGGCUAACUACGUGCCAGCAGCCGCGGUAACAC
rnacentral:rRNA from 1 species